GAUGAUGACCUACAGGUCCCGUGAUGUCACAAUCUGACAGCCCUGCGAUGUCACACACCAGCACUAAGAAACUAAGGGGAUUAAGACUGUUGGUCUUUGGAGGGGUACCAUGUGUCAGCCGUUAUAGAAGGCGACAGCGAGCAGACCUAUGAGGAGGAGACUUGAGCAUCUGUUGACGUUGGUGCUGAGGGAAGUCCUGGAAUUCAUCCCCCAUGGACACUAGUGGACAACUAUGCUCCAGGAUUGCUGAGAAAGGUAACAAUGCACCAAGUUCAAAGCAGCCAAUUAAAGGAACUUCUUGACUUCAUAAGACAGACUUCAAACUGGGGAGGCAGGCCAUAAACAGGCAAAUACAGAGGCAGAUUCGGAGAAGAGCCACGAAGAGUUUAGAAAGACAAGAUUUACAAAAGACAAACAGGGAUGCUUUGGGGAGCAUUUUGAACAGUAACAACACAAAACCCAGAUGGAAAGAGAACCAAGACACAAGACCUAGGCUCCUGUCCAGGAAAACAAGGAACUAGAUAGUUGGGAAGGAAGAACCUCAGGAAACACAACAUUUGCUGAGCACACUGGAGACAGAAGAGCCCCUCUCUACUCCAAACUUCUGAGAAACAACAAGAGAAACCAGAGGGAGGAAGAGGGCCGCCAGAUGCCACUCAACUGCCCACUUGUAACACGCUAACAGAGAAAUAAAGAAAAGGGUAAUCCCUUCUCAGGCAAAAGGCACUGUGGACUGUGAAGAGAAACCACAGCCUGCUCCUAAUAGCAAAGAGAAGCUGAGAGAAAGCUGUCUUCCCAUGCGUGCUAAAUGUGCCAGUCCUGAGUGGGCUUGCUAUGGGUCCAGCCUUGAAGGGGGAGUCAAGGACUGAGUCCCAUCAGUGCAGGACACCCCAAGAGCAUCCAGAAUCCACAUUGCUUUCACAAAGAAGUCUGUGAACCUGGACGUGGAGUCUGCACCUUCCCCAGACCUAGCUUCUGAACACUUGCACCCAAGGAAGGAGUCCUGUGGUGGGCUGGCUCAUUUCUCCCCGCUGUCUCUGCUACCUCCAAAGAGCCUGUCAUUAAGGCUUUGUCCCUGGCUCUCUGAUUUACAUGUACAAAUAAUCGCUGUCAGGGGCAUGAGCCCCAGAGAGCAAUAAUAGAUUCUGGUAGUAGCAGAUGUAGGAAAUAAAAACAAAAUAACGAAACACA